CAACAUAGGCUUGAACUGUGUGCCUCCACUUACUGUGGAUUUUUAAGUGGACCUGCGCUGUUCAAACCUGUGUCAUUCAAAGGUCAGCUGUACUUUCCACCCACAGUUGGGAAUCCACUUGUGCAGAGGGCCAACUUAAGUUAUACAGAUUUUCAACUGUGUGGUGGGUUGUCACCUCUAACCCAUGUUGUUCAAGGGUCAGUUGUUUUUCAUGGUAGCUUGGGAGAAAGCAUGAUCUAGAUGUGUGUGCUAAUAUGGAACAGCUACCAAGAUGUAAUAGAUGGAAGCAGUUUCGCAAUGGUGUGUACCAUACGCUGUUUGGGAGGCUGCUGAGGAGGAGGGAGGUACAAGGGCCAUGUGAGGUGGGAAGUGACUGGGGUCUUCCUUGCACAGCAAUCCCUCUGUAACAGCGAGCGUGGGAGAGUCCAGGCUGCAAGAAAGCACACCCUAGUGUGGACCCUGCGGCAGAGCCCUCCUGCAGACUGGCAUCUCCCUCUACCACAGGAAGAGAAAGACGAGUGACAAGCACCCCUGCACGGCUUCCUCCGGACUGUUUCAGGGACCACUUCUUCAGAAGCAAAGCUCUCCGCUCAGCCUCCUCAAAGGAGAGCUCUACCUGAGGCCGCUGUCUGGGAACACACAAAUCCAAAGGUGUGAAGCUGAGGAGCACUGACCUCACUGACCAACAAGUCUCGGUGACUGCAUAUGGCCCAAGCACCCUCCAUGCCAGACACAGUUGGAAUUUAGGACAAAUUAAGGAAUGGGAUGUUGAAUGUGGCAACAGCCGCAAUUGACACUAAGAACCAGUGCCAUUUGCUUUACAUGGAGAUUAGAGACAGUGAUCCUCUGAGAAGGCUAUGAUAGCACUUCCUCUUUCCCAGGCAAAGACGACCUUUGGUGAGAGGUGACUUCGGAGAAAAGUGAAAUGGUAUAAUGAAAACGGACACCAAAAUUCCAGGGAGUCAAGAGCCUAUAUCAGACCUGGAGUACCAAAAGACACCUGCUGUGUCCCACUUGUAUGGCAAGGUGCUACUUUAUAAAUAGUACACUUAAAAGAUGCCAACUCUGCACAUAACAUCCUAGCUAUGAGCUUUUGCAUCACAAAGCAAGAGGCUAAGAGUUUUCUACCAUCAGGAUGGACAAGGCCUGCAGGCCUGCAGACCCAAGGCCCAAGUUGUGACAACUACAACUUCUCUUGCAAAAGAGCAACAAUAUGAACUUUUGAGCAGUGCUGAUACGAACCCACUCAAGCAUCUGGCCUGGCUUAUCGAACAAUUCUGAGUUUCUUUCCCACAUUCAGCCAUUCAAGAGCACCACACAGGAAUGUUUUUCAACUCUCAGGAGACACGAGAAAAGGACUCAGCCCAGGGCCAAGUCAGCCCAAGCCUACUUACCCCUUCCCAUCACUGGUGUGAAAUACAGGUAGAAGUACCUUUAGGUGAUGGAACUGCUUUGUCCUGAGGACCUCAACCCUACAGGACUCUUACCUCACUUGAUCCAAGAACCUCACAGGUGUAAUAAAAUCUUCAAUGGGAA